rnacentral:rRNA from 1 species
UACGUAGGGGGCAAGCGUUAUCCGGAUUUACUGGGUGUAAAGGGAGCGUAGGUGGCAUGGUAAGUCAGAUGUGAAAGCCCGGGGCUCAACCCUGGGAUUGCAUUUGAAACUAUCAAGCUAGAGUGCAGGAGAGGUAAGUGGAAUUCCUAGUGUAGCGGUGAAAUGCGUAGAUAUUAGGAGGAACACCAGUGGCGAAGGCGGCUUACUGGACUGUAACUGACACUGAGGCUCGAAAGCGUGGGGAGCAAACAGG